ACAUGCAAGUCGAGCGGUAGAGAGAAGCUUGCUUCUCUUGAGAGCGGCGGACGGGUGAGUAAUGCCUAGGAAUCUGCCUGGUAGUGGGGGAUAACGCUCGGAAACGGACGCUAAUACCGCAUACGUCCUACGGGAGAAAGCAGGGGACCUUCGGGCCUUGCGCUAUCAGAUGAGCCUAGGUCGGAUUAGCUAGUUGGUGGGGUAAUGGCUCACCAAGGCGACGAUCCGUAACUGGUCUGAGAGGAUGAUCAGUCACACUGGAACUGAGACACGGUCCAGACUCCUACGGGAGGCAGCAGUGGGGAAUAUUGGACAAUGGGCGAAAGCCUGAUCCAGCCAUGCCGCGUGUGUGAAGAAGGUCUUCGGAUUGUAAAGCACUUUAAGUUGGGAGGAAGGGCAGUAACCUAAUACGUUGCUGUCUUGACGUUACCGACAGAAUAAGCACCGGCUAACUCUGUGCCAGCAGCCGCGGUAAUACAGAGGGUGCAAGCGUUAAUCGGAAUUACUGGGCGUAAAGCGCGCGUAGGUGGUUUGUUAAGUUGGAUGUGAAAUCCCCGGGCUCAACCUGGGAACUGCAUUCAAAACUGACAAGCUAGAGUAUGGUAGAGGGUGGUGGAAUUUCCUGUGUAGCGGUGAAAUGCGUAGAUAUAGGAAGGAACACCAGUGGCGAAGGCGACCAC
rnacentral:rRNA from 1 species